AUUGAACGCUGGCGGCAGGCCUAACACAUGCAAGUCGAGCGGCAGCACGGGGCUUGCUCCUGGCUGCAGCGGCGGACGGGGGCGGGAUGCCUAUGAAUCUGCCCGGUCGCGUGGGAUGACGUCCGCAAUCGGGCGCUAAUACUGCAUCCGCCCUGGGCGUGCGAGUGGGGGAUCGUCGGCUCUCACGCUAUCGGAGGAGCCUAGGUCGGAUUAGCUAGUUGGUGGGGUAAAGGCCUACCAAGGCGACGAUCCGUAACUGGUCUGAGAGGAUGAUCAGCCACACUGGAACUGAGACACGGUCCAGACUCCUACGGGAGGCAGCAGUGGGGAAUAUUGGACAAUGGGCGCAAGCCUGAUCCAGCCAUGCCGCGUGUGUGAAGAAGGCCUUCGGAUUGUAAAGCACUUUAAGUGGGGAGGAAGAGCAGUAAGUUAAUACCUGGCUGUUUUGACGGUACCAAAAGAAUAAGCACCGGCUAACUUCGUG
rnacentral:rRNA from 1 species